CCUGUGAGACACCACCAGAGGAUGGCAGUGGCAUCUGGAGGAGGAUUGGAGCUAGCUGAAAGAAGUCCUGCAGAGGGAAGCUAGCAGUGGAGCUGCACCUUGGUAGUCAGAUACAUCAUAGGAACUGGUGAUGGAAGCUUCCCAAUGCCUCUCACUACAGUCUGUCAACCCUCACCUCGAGGGACUAUGGAAAUGAUCCAAUACAGUGAAAUCAACAGGAGCCUUUCCAUUGCAUUCCAUGGGCACUGGAUCAAACCCUACAACAAAACAUCCAAACUACAGACAGACCGUGGGCUUGAUGUAUUGUGGCACCUAUGUUGAUACAUACUAUCUGAUGAUCUUGCCUACAUAUGAAUAUCAAUCCCCUUUAUGGGGUGCUUUUUGUGAUACAAGCAAGGCUGCAGUGCUACUUGCAGUGAAUAGCUUGCUUUCUUCAAGCCACAAGAAACUGUCACAUCUGCCAACCUUCAGCAAACUGAGCAGGGACUGUUAUUCAUUUUAGUGCCCAACUGCAUAAUAUUUAUCCUGGUUAUAAUAUUCUCUAUUACCACUGAAAAUAUUUGGCUCCCAAAAGAAGAAAAAAAGGAAUUGUGUCAAAGGUCCAAAUUCCUCCCUGAGAUGUGAAUCAUUUUCAGUGACGUUAAUGGGAGCUGUGCACAUGACUUUCUAGGUGGAAUCUGACUCCAAAGCCCACCCAUCUAUACUGGAUUUUUUCAGCAGGUCUUUUUCAUAUUAGUGUAUUAAACAUACUUUAAUCUCAAUGGACUGAAUCUUUGGGCCCUUUUGCAUCUGCUUUGGAUGGUGGUGACAUGCAAAGGAAAUGAAGAACUGCACUAAAGGGAAGGCUGAGAAUUUUUUCUGACAGGGAAUCCUCAAGUGGCGCAAACCUAGUGUAGCUGGUUCUACAUCUCCUGCUCGCCCCCUGCCACAUCGGAGCCUGUUGGAAUAAUGUCUGGUGUUCCAUUAGAUCUGCAGCGUCCUAACUCAGAACAUCUUCAGGCUGUUCUAAGAAACACUAAGAGUUGUUUUGGUCCCAGACUAGGGCGACCAGAUGUACUGUUUUUAUAGUGACAGUCCCGUGUUUUGAGACUUUUUCUUAUAUAGACACCUACUGACCUCCACCCCCUGU